rnacentral:rRNA from 1 species
AACGAACGUUAGCGGCGCGCCUAACACAUGCAAGUCGAACGCGACUGGGGGCAACUCCAGUUGAGUGGCGCACGGGUGAGUAACACGUAGGUAAUCUCCCCUCGAGUGGUGGAUAACCUUCCGAAAGGAGGGCUAAUACAGCAUAAGACCACGGCCUCGAAAGAGGCUGAGAUCAAAGCGGAGGAGCGCAAGACUUCGCGCUUGAGGAUGAGCCGGCGGCCCAUCAGGUAGUUGGCGGAGUAACAGCCCACCAAGCCUAAGACGGGUAGCUGGUCUGUGACGAUGGUCAGCCAAACUGGAACUGAGACACGGUCCAGACUCCUACGGGAGGCAGCAGUGGGGAAUCUUGCGCAAGGGACGAAAGUCUGACGCAGCGACGCCGCGUGGGUGAUGAAGGCCUUCGGGUUGUAAAGCCCUGUGGGGAGGGACGAAUAAGUUGCAGCUAAUACCUGCAGCGAUGACGGUACCUCCUUAGCAAGCACCGGCUAACUCUGUGCCAGCCGCCGCCGUAA